rnacentral:rRNA from 1 species
GACAGAGGGGGCAAGCGUUGUCCGGAGUUACUGGGCGUAAAGCGCACGUAGGCGGUACGGUAAGUAAGGUGUGAAAGCCCCAGGCUUAACCUGGGGAGGUCAUCUUCGACUGCCGCACUCGAGACCUGCAGAGGAUCGUGGAAUUGCCGGUGUAGUGGUGAAAUGCGUAGAGAUCGGCAGGAACACCAAGGGCGAAAGCAGCGAUCUGGGCAGGGACUGACGCUGAGGUGCGAAAGCGUGGGGAGCGAACCGG